UCUGGUGAUUCAAGGCAGUGGUCCCACCCGUUCCCAUUCCGAACACGGUCGUGAAACGCUGUACUACCGAUGAUACUCUUCGGGGGAAAGUAGGCAGUCGCCAGAA
rnacentral:rRNA from 1 species